GUAGGUGAACCUGCGGAAGGAUCAUUAACAAAGAUGUGUAUGAGGUGUGUGAGGUGAAUAGUAAUAUUCUCCUUCCACCUUUGACAUUUGCCCGGCCGCAAGGCUGAGGAAGGAGGGGGAGAGCUCUUUUUUAAGGCUUUAACCCCUCCAUAUAUACGCGUGUUUGUAUGGCUGUUUGAUGGUAAAUAAUAUGACAACUUUUAACAAUGGAUCUCUUGGCUCUUGCAUCGAUGAAGAACGCAGCAUCUGA
rnacentral:misc_RNA from 1 species